UUUGCAUAAUUUUUAUCAAUAGCUAGCUAUCAAAAACUAAAAAAAGCUUCAAUGUAUGUGCCAAAGUGAGAAUUUAAACUGAUCUGUGGUUUGGCAAACUUUAAUCAACAUUUUUCUUGUUUGGAGUGUUGUGUAAGUGGUGGGCAAUAGGCACCAUAAUAAUAAGUUUGUUUUUGCUGAUACAGGAAAGAGGAGGAGUUGAUUUGAGUAAACUAGUGACUGAAACUUAUGAGUUCGCAGAAGAAUGCUUGCAAAUAAACUAUUAUGGUGCUAAAAGAACAGCUGAAGCACUUAUCCCACUCCUCCAGUUAUCUGACUCACCGAGAAUUGUUAAUGUUUCGUCUGGCGCGGGGAAGUUAAAAAACAUACCAAACGAUUGGGCUAAAGGAGUUUUUACUGAUGCCGAAAACCUAACAGAAGAGAGAGUAGAUGAGGUACUGACUGAGCUUCUAAAAGAUUUCAAGGAGGGUUCACUUGAAAGUAAGGGCUGGCCCUCUAUGCCUGCCUACAUAGUCUCAAAAGCAGCACUGAACGCAUAUACAAGGAUUCUAGCAAAGAAGUACCUCAAUUUUCGCAUCAAUUCGGUCUGCCCUGGCUUUGUCAAAACAGAUAUGAACUGCAAUGUUGGCGUCUUGCCUGUCGAAGAAGGUGGUGCCAGGGUUGCGAAGUUUGCAUUGCUGCCCAAUGAUGGCCCUACUGGCUCCUUCUUUGUUCACAAUGAAGUGUCAGAUUUUUGAUUGAAGAUGAUCCAUUUAUGCAAAUUUAAUACGAUUCGCUUAUUGGGCAAUAUCUUGUACUGUAAUGUAAUUUUAAGUAUUUUGGUAUGUAUAUUGAUUGAAGGAUCAUGCUUAUUGUGUACACGUACCAAGUACCCUAGAAAGAUCAGUGGCUGGAAUUAAGGGGUUUGACGAAGUAGCAUUCUCCUUGUUCCAAUCAAGGGGAGAGAGUCUUGGGUAAGGCAGCCGCUUGCGAAAUCACACUCACAAAGAGUCAAGACCCACAUUCAGAGGACUCUCACCCUUAUUUAAGUGUGCUACACUGCUACCGGUGCGGCGGUUUUAUUUAAGAUUUUUUCCUAUCAAAAGGUGAAAGUUGUCACAAGUAAAUUAAUAUCCAUGUUUGUACAAGGAUAUUAUUAGUCAAUUAGAAAUUUUCUGGGCUGAAAGUCUUGCAUGCGAAACUGCUUGCCACUGCCACCACCAAAAUUCUUCAACAACGUGAGCACUUGCGUCACCACGCCCCCAUUAUUUAUCUGAAUAUGAUUCCCAGAAUUCAAGGGCUUUUGAAGAACAUUUCAUUAUAAAAGAAAAGAAGGCUCUUGCUGUUUAAUACACGUCUCAAUUUUCACAGACCGUCCCGUUUCGAAUCUAUCAAUGGCAGAAGUAACAAAGAGGUAGCACUUUAGACUUCUUUAUGCUUUGUUUCCUUGUCCGAUUUCCAAUCCCUUUAAUUGUUUUUGUUUCUAUGAAAUUGGUGUUUGUGUUUUCUUAGGUAUGCAGUUGUUACUGGAGCAAACAAAGGCAUAGGAUUGGAAACUGUCAGGCAGUUGGCCUCAAAGGGGUUCACCGUAGUCUUAACUGCCCGAGAUGAGAAGAGGGGUCUUGAAGCUGUUGAGAAACUCAAAGAGUCUGGCCUCUCUGGUCAAGUGGUUUUUCAUCAACUUGAUGUAGCUAACCCUGCUACUGUUGCUUCCUUGGCAAACUUCAUCAAAAUCCAGUUUGGGAAACUCGAUAUCUUGGUAUAUAUAUGAUCAUAGCUGCAGGUUUCUUCAAAAAAGUUUCUGUCUUUUGAAUCCAACUCGUAAUCCAAAUGCGAUUUAGUGGAAGGAGAAGAAAUAUGGCAUUGGAGAAUAAAAACGGCAAACCAAGUAAUACUAGCUUAAUAAUAUCAUCAAGAAGUUAAUCUUUGAAAUAAUUAGAAGUCCUAGGCUUUUUGAAGAACAAAACAAGUUUCACAUAACUACCAGUUGUGGAAGGUUUUACUUUCAAAUCUAACUCUAUGUCUGCCACUCUGUUUUUGUUUCUUGGAAUCUUUUCAUAUAUGAUAUAAUCCCUUUCUGUACAAUUUACAAGUACCCUAGUAAGAUCAGUGGCUGGAGUUGAGGGGUUUGGCAAAGUAGCAUAAUUAUUGUGCUUCUUUAAAGGGAUUGGCCUUUAUGGUUGGUAAUAGUAUGGUUGUAACAACAAAGAGAUUGUCAGAGUAAUCAGAUAGUGAAACAGACAGUGAAACAGUAUGGUUGUAUCAACUUUCUUUUCAUUUCAUUUUCUAUAAAAACAUGUCUGUUCUUUUCUUUGCUAAAAGAAAACAGAUAGUGAAACAGUUGGACUCUGCACAGGUGAACAAUGCAGGGAUUGGUGGAAGUAUAGUAGAUGGUGAUGCUUUAAAAGCUGCUGUAGCCUCUGGUGCCAUGGUAAGUUUUUUGCAUAAUUUUUAUCAAUAGCUAUCAAAAACUAAAAGCUUCAAUGAAUGUGACAAAGUUAGAAUAUAAACUGAUCUGUGGUUUGGCAAACUUUAAUCAACAUUUUUCUUGUUUUGGGUGGGUGUGUAAGUGGUGGGCAAUAGGCACCUUAAUAAUAAGUUUGCUUUUACUGAUACAGGAAAGAGGAGAAGUUGAUUUGAGUAAACUAAUGACUGAAACUUAUGAGUUAACAGAAGAAUGCUUGCAAAUAAACUAUUAUGGUGCUAAAAGAACAGCUGAAGCACUUAUCCCACUCCUCCAGUUUUCUGACUCACCGAGAAUUGUUAAUGUUUCAUCUUCCAUGGGGAAGUUAGAGAAGAUACCAAGCGAUCGGGCUAGAGGAGUUUUUACUGAUGCUGAAAACCUAACAGAAGAGAGAGUAGAUGAGGUACUGACCGAGCUUCUAAAAGACUUCAAGGAGGGUUCACUUGAAAGGAAGGGCUGGCCUUCUUCUAUGCCUGCCUAUACAGUCUCAAAAGCAGCACUGAACGCAUAUACAAGGAUUUUAGCAAAGAAGUACCUCAAUUUUCGUAUCAAUUCAGUCUGCCCGGGCUUUGUCAAAACAGAUAUAAACUACAAUGUCGGUGUCCUACCUGUCGAAGAAGGGGCUGCAAGGGUUAUGAAGUUAGCAUUGCUGCCCAAUGAUGGCCCUACUGGCUCCUUCUUUGUUCACAAUGAAGUGUCGGAUCUUUGAUUGAAGAAGAUCCAUUUAUGCAAAUUUAAUACGAUUCGCUUAUUGGGCAACAUCUUGUACUGUAAUGUAAUUUUAAGUAUUUUGGACACCAACAGAUCCUUUUGACGUUCUUUCUACAUUCAAUAAGAGGAUGGCAUAUAUGAUGUUUUAUCUAUGUAAAAUUUCACCAUAGCACACUGUUUAAAUAACAAAAGAAAAGGUCAGGUGUUUCUGGCCUAACCGGAAGCCUUCCCCUUUGGUUUUAGGGGAAAGACUUAGCUGUCCUAGGGUGACUACUCCUUGUUCUUUCCUGUAGCAUCUUGUGAUGCAUGCAAGUUUCUUGCGUUUUGAGAAGAGAGACAACGCUGCCAAAUAAAGGCUAAAAGAGUAUUGAGUAAGGCAGUCGCAUCUGAAAUCACAUACACAAGGAGUUUUUUCUUCUUUUAGAAAUGGAAUUCAUUCAUAGAAUCAAAGUAGCGUAUAUAGAACGACACGAAACAGUGACCUAGUUAAAACAUUGUUUAGGGACAAAUUCCAGGGUAGGAAAGAGUACCACAUAUAUCAUUGACUAACAAGAGAGUCUAAAACAAUCACGCAUGACCAAUGCUAGAGCAAGAUAAAAUAAAACAGCAAACUGACACAUAGACCUCCGACGAGAACACUAUAACACAGUCCAAUUGCCAAAAGAGUCAUACUAUGAAAUUAUAGUCCUUUUGACGCAGCGAGAUAUAGGGAUAGGGAGAUCGAACGAUAACCCUACAAUUAACAAUGUCGGAAUCCACCAACAAACUGAAAUCCAUCAGAGAAAUUGAGUAAAACCUCAAAUAUAUUGAUUGAAAAUAAGAUGAAUAAACUGACAAAUACAAUGCCAUGUGUUGGCUUAAAUAGAAAACAAAGAAACCCUAAAACAGUAGGAAACCCUAUGUUCUAGCAUAUUCCUAAACUUACCUAACAAGAAAAUAAUAAAAAUAAUAGCUCAAAAUCAUAAUAACAAAAUAAUAUCCUAAUAGAUAACUUAUUCUUCCAAAUAUAAAAUAAAACAUUAAAUUAAAUACAAAUCUUAACAGAAUCAUAAUUGUUUCAAACUUCCUUAAUCAAUUAGAAAAUCCCAACGAUAUGCCUUCCUUCUUUUCCUAGCGCCAUAAUUGACAUUUAAUUGGAAUUUUCCUCUCUUGCAUGAUUUUCUUACAACUUUGAGCCACUCCACUUUAUUUUAAUUAAUUUUUCACACUUCGUCCUACAUCACCUUUGCACAGCCACAAGACAUUGAGAGUACCCGACAGAGAACACAAUACACCAAGAAGAAAGAAAACAUCCACUAAGCACACCAUCUCUAGCCAACUCCAAUAGCAAUUGGUGAUGAAAGAAGAGAAAUAUGCGAGGAACAACACAAAGAAGAGACUAAUCACGCAAACAGGCCAGGAAAGAAAAUAAAAUAAAAAAGCCCUCAAGCAUGCUGUAUCAUCUGAACACUAACAAAGAAACCUUCUAUGAAAACGUAGUCCUUAAGACAGGCGGAGAAUCAAAGAUUAACUAAGAGGAGAACGAAGAAAACACCACGCAAUGCAACAAUAACAAAAUUGGUCUAGCCAUUUAACCUGAAUACAGGGAUCAAGCACAAGAGCAUUCGCCAGAUGCCAAGCCCACGAAUGCUCCAAGAACACAUUAAGGAAUGCUUCAAGAACACAUUAAGGAAGGCUCCUAGGAGAUUCCACUUGACCAAUCCCCAUAGGUUUGUUAGGACGGACACCAACAUCACCCAAAUUCGCAGUCCCAAUUGCAGAGUAACUAGCCAAACCUGUAAAGAUGGGUAAAAGUGAAGAAAACCUAUAGAAAAUCAUGAGUUUCAUUUGAACAUCAACAUAGAUAAAUAAAAUCAUGGCAACGGAAGCUUAAGCAUGCAUCUAUGAGUUCAACAACAAAAAUUUUCCCAUAUAUCUUUUAAGCCAAGUGAUGGUUGUACUAUUUUCCUAGAACCUACUUCUAAGAAGAUUGGAAGGAGGAGUUAUUUUUGGUGCGUGCUUUCAACCCUAUGAUCGAAUUCCACCAAAGUUGUUGAAGCUUGAAUGACUCCUUCAAAAACUCUAACUUGAGAGGUUCUCCAAAAGUCACCAAAAUAGGUAACCUCUAAGUCUCUUCACCAACUAGAGCUUGAGAAGAAGAUGGUGAGCUUAGUGAGUGGAUGAUCCUAGUAAUCCAUCACUAAGAUAGUAUGAAAGUGUAGAGAGACUUUUGGAAUACUAGAGCUUUCUCUCUCUCUCUUGAUUUUCACUAAUGCUAAGGCUUCAAAAAAAUGAUAGUCAUCUUUUACUUGAGUCAACAAGUUGACUCUAGUAACCAAAAGCCCAUAUGAACGCGUAUCCCUUGAAAUUGGGCCUUUGGGCUCAAUUUUGUUUAAGUUGUCAUACAACCCAUAAAGCCCAAUGAGCCUAGAAUUCAAAAUUCCCCGUUUAAAGCCUAUUCCAACAUUAUGUGUCAUUUAAAUUAAUUCCAUAAUUAAUUUUCCCUUAACAAAUUAACUAAGCUUAAUUGAUCUCUUCAAUUCAUCAUCUCCAUAACGGUUUCUCAAAUAACUCUAGUUUAACAGUGUGCGAUCCAAUAGGUUCUAAUUAGCAAGGUCGUGGGCAAUUUGAACUCUUCGUAAUUGAUUUGUGAAUUAAAACCCCCUUUUAAUUCUCCAUAUUAGCUAGGAUCAUUAGUCCUUAGGGCUUCAACCAUGCAUGAGUGACACCUAGCAGUAUGUCAUGAAUAUCCAAGCUAAGUAGAAUAAGUAGAGAACCUAUUCAGUUGGAAUUACAAUGCAAUACGGUCUUUCCCUAUUACAAUACUCUUAAUCUCAUUGCUAGGGCAUGGUGCGUGUCAAACCCUAAUGAGAUUGUCAAGUCUUAUAUGAUUUGUAUUAGUAUGACUAGAACAUCUUUCUAGGUCAUACCGAAUACUCUGAUAUGAGAUUUGCUUAAUCAUAUCUUCCGAGCAUUCUCAUUCUUUACUGAAGGAUACCGAUUCCAUGUUGUACACACACAUGUCUACAUGAGUUAAUCAAGAACCCCAACAAUGCUUGUACCACGUCCGUGAUUAAGACAUGUAUUUAUAGCAUUAUUAAAGAUCCACAACCUUCCCAUAAGACAAGCAUGGUGCCUCAGGACUAAGUACUAAUUUGCAUUAUUGCAACUUGGAGUUUCUUGUUUCACAUAUAAGUAAAAUUUCCAUAUAAGAAACUCUCGUUUGAUAAGUGUCAUUACAAUAAGAAAUGCUAGAGGUGAACAUGGCUUGAAGUUUGAAAUUAAUUUCUGACACAAUCAUUCUGUCCAGCCUUGCUUCAUAUAUAACAGAUGAAGAUAUCCAAAAGGGCAUCUUGUAUCCAUCUAUUCACAGAUAAUAUUCUCAGCUCCUUGCAGCAUUAAGAGCUCGUCUGAUUUUUAUCAAAAAUGGCAUCGCAAUUCUCAACUGCUGUAACAACUGAGAGGAGGGUGGGGCAACUGGUUGAUUGUAUUACCCGACUGUUUCUAUUGUAUAUGGUGCAGUAUCCGACAUAUAACAGUGGAGGUUGGAGCUGCUGUCCUGCGGGCAGCUGUUGCAGAAGAACUGGCCGAAGGACAUUGUGAUGUGGUUCCCAGAGAGCUCAUGUACAUGUCAAAAGUAAGAACUGAUAUUCAAUCUUCCCUCCACAAAAUACAAAAGCUCUUUUUAAAACACACAAAAUGUCUAAGCGAAUUUUGAUUUAGAAAGCAAGCUCUACAUGUUAGACUACUUUUGCAAAAGGUCUGAACAUGCCAAAGAGGACGUAUUUAGGUGAAGGCGUAUACAUACAGAAAAUGCUAUUCUAAUAAACAUCUAGUCAAACAACCAUAACCAAGAACCUUGAAAAUUGCUUUGCUAGCUUUUGCUUAUAUUGCCAGAGUUUUAGAAGAAAAAUUGUGAUUUUCCUGAAAUCUAUUUUGGUUUUUAUCUUCUUGUUACAGGAGGAGAGUCUGGAAUAUGUGAGUCGCAGCAUGUGGUUCCCAGUUUAUAGCCCUCUUGUUCAUGAAAAAUGAGGCUUGGUUUUGUAUUAUCGUACGCAGUAGGCUGUCGUUGGAGGCUAUAUUUUUUUUGCAGCUCAUAUAUAUCAAUAGGUCUGCAGCUAAGCAACUUAUUCUUGGUCUUUCUUGGAUUCGUAGUUUACAAGCUCAGAGAAGUAGAAGGCAAAGAAGGGAACGGAAAUAAGGCCCUCUUACUAAACUGAAAAGAAAGUAGAAGCCCAUUUGUUUGAACAAUGCAUAAUUACGUGACUAAUAUUAGUGCAAUGUCUUUGUGUUAACUUUCUUUUACGUUAACUUAAUAACAAAGCAAACUGCACCCAAAAAAAAAAAAAAAAGUUCAGGUGUUUUUGGCCUCACAGUAAGAUCCCAGUUGACUUGACCUUCCCCUUUGGUUUUGGGCCAAAGGACUUAGCCGUCCUAGGGUGACUACUGCUAGUUUCUAUAAACGCCGAGAGAGUCUUGUGUAGGGCAGCCACAUGUCAAAUUACACUCGCAAAGAGUUAAGACCUACAUUCAGAGGGUUUUGCCUUUAUUUGAGUGUGCUACCGGUGAGGUGGUCCUAUCUAAGAUUUUUAACUAUCAAUGUAUGUAUUUUAAAUCUAUUAGGGAUGAAAAUGUAAGGGAGAAAAAGACAGAAUUUUCGAAAGGUGGUGUGUAUGUAAGAUUUAUUUCUUAUGAAGUAAUUUGAUCCAUGUUUCUAUAGGAUAUUAUUAUUUACAUUAUUAGUCAAUUAGAGUAGUCAAAACCACCAAUCUUUGCAUGCGAAACUGCUGACUCUGCAACUGCCUCCACCAAAAUUCUCCAACAACGUGGGCACUUGUGUCACCACGCCCCCAUUCUUUUCCUUGAAAAUCUUAAAAACAAAAAUCCAAACAAAUCACUCUCAAGCUAACCACACACGAGCCAAGAACACCAAGAAGUUCUUGCUCAAUAGGAAAGAAUACACUAAAAACAAUACAAAGAAAUAAACCUCUCACAAACACAAGGAACCAAUAAAGAAGACUCAACCUUUGAAAUGGCUUGAUCUUUCAUCGACAUCUUGUGUAGCCAAAGAUGAGUUUAUCUCCACCUUCAUGGUGAUGUUCUCUAGUGUUUCUCUCUUUGUGGAAGUAUCUCUCACUUCUAUUUUAGCCUCUCUGAGCAAUGGUGCUCAUGGCUCCAAAUGGUGAGGCACAAAUGGCCACUCUUCUUUUGCAUGCACCAUUUCUUCCUUUUAUAAACCCAUGCAGCUCUCCAAAUGAGAGCAACCACAUGCCAACGAAGCCACGUGAUGGCCAGCCAAAGAAGGAAAAAAUUCCUUCAUCAUUGCACCACCACCAUGCAUUGUCUCUCACCAAAGACAUCAUCAUUCCAUGCAAUAUUAUUGGCCACCAACUUCAACAAUUGCGGCUUCCCAUUUUAAUCUUCCUCUAACAGGUUGGCCACGUUAUUGGUCAUUAGAGUAAUCAAAUUCACCAGUCUUUGCAUGCGAAACUGCUUACUCUGCUCUGCUACUGCCUCCAUCAAAACUCUCCAACAACGUGGGCACUUGCGUCACCACGCCCCAUUAUUUUCCUCGAAAAUCUUAAAAACAAAAGAGUAGUCAAAUUCGCCACUGCAACUGCUUACUCUGCUCUGCAAAAGCCUCCACCAAAAUUCUCCAACAACGCGGGCACUUGCGUUACCACGGCGCCAUUUUUUUCAUUGAAAAUCUUAAAAACAAAAAUCCAAACAAAUAUUGGUCCCUCUUUCACCACAAUUUCCAAUUACUUCUAAGAAAACAUUAGAAGCUUCCUCCCUCCAGUGUGUACAUAGGAACAAAAGAAUCAAUAAUUUUCUUCUUCUUACAAAGGCUGCUGUCCUCCACCAUGAAGAAAUAAAUUUGAUUUCUUCUUACAAAGGUUCUUAGACACGUGGGUGCAAUUUGGGCUAACAAAAUUAACAAGGGCUGCUCAAAACACAUCACAUGCCAUCAAAUUUGAACCAAUUUCAACACAAAAUUCAAAGGAUUUCCAAGAACAUUUCACUAUAAAAGAAAAGAAGGGUUCCUUCUGUUUAAUACACAUCUCAAUUCUCACAGACCGUCCCGUUUCGAAUAUAUCAAUGGCAGAAGCAACAAAGAGGUAGCACUUUAGACUUCUUUAUGCUUUGUUUCCUUGCCCGAUUCCCAAUCCCAUUAAUUGUUUUUGUUUCUAUGAAUUUGGUGUUUGUAUUUUCUUAGGUAUGCAGUUGUUACUGGAGCAAACAAAGGCAUGGGAUUGGAAACUGUAAGGCAGUUGGCCUCAAAUGGGUUCACCGUAGUCUUAACUGCCCGAGAUGAGAAGAGGGGUCUUGAAGCUGUUGAGAAACUCAAAGAGUCUGGCCUCUCAGGUCAAGUGGUUUUUCAUCAACUUGAUGUGGCUAACCCUGCUACUGUUGCUUCUUUGGCAGACUUCAUCAAAACCCAGUUUGGGAAACUCGAUAUCUUGGUAUGUAUAUGAUCCUAGCGGCAAGUUUCUUGAAAAAGUUUAUCUUGGUAUGUAUAUGAUCCUAGCGGCAGGUUUAAUAGAAGGAGAUUAAAUAUGGAAUCAUAUAGAAAAUGAAAUUGGAGAAUAAAAAUAGCAAACCAAGUAAUAACUAGCGUAAUAAUAUCAUCAACAAGUUAAUCUUUGAAAUGAUUAGAAGUCUUCGGCUUUUUGAAGAACAAAACAAGAUUCACGUAACUACCAGUUGUGGAAGAUUUUACUUUCAAAUCUAACUCUAUGUCUGCCACUCUGUUUUUGUUUCUCGGAAUCUUUUCAUAUUUGAUAUGAUCCCUUUCUGUACAAUUUACAAGUACCCUAGAAAGAUCAGUGGCUGGAAUUAAGGGGUUGGCAAAGUAGCAUAAUUAUUGUGCUUCUUUAAAGGCAUUGGCCUUUAUGGUUGGUAUGGUUGUAAAAACAAAGAGAUUGUCAGAGUACUCAGAGGAUCUAUCAACUUUCUUUUCAUUUCAUUUUCUAUAUAUAAAAAAAUCUGUUCUUUUCUUUGCUAAAAGGAAACAGAAAGUGAAACAGUUGGACUCUGCACAGGUGAACAAUGCAGGGAUUUAUGGAAGCAUAUUAGACGGUGAUGCUUUUAAAGCUGUUAUAGCCUCUGGUGCCAUGGUAAGUUUUUUGCAUAAUUUUUAUCAUAUAAAAAACUAAAAGCUUCAAUGUAUGUGCCAAAGUGAGAAUUUAAACUGAUCUGUAAGUGGUGGGCAAUAAGCACCAUAAUAAUAAGUUUGUUUUGGCUGAUACAGGAAAGAGGAGAAGUUGAUUUGAGUAAACUAGUGACUGAAACUUAUGAGUUUGCAGAAGAAUGCUUGCAAAUAAACUAUUAUGGUGCUAAAAGAACAGCUGAAGCACUUAUCCCACUCCUCCAGUUAUCUGACUCACCGAGAAUUGUUAAUGUUUCGUCUGGUGCGGGGAAGUUAAACAACAUACCAAGCGAUUGGGCUAAAGGAGUUUUUACUGAUGCCAAAAACCUAACAGAAGAGAGAGUAGAUGAGGUACUGACUGAGUUUCUAAAAGAUUUCAAGGAGGGUUCACUUGAAAGUAAAGGCUGGCCUUCUUCUAUGCCUGCCUAUACAGUCUCAAAAGCAGCACUGAACGCAUAUACAAGGAUUCUAGCAAAGAAGUACCUCAAUUUUCGUAUCAAUUCGGUCUGCCCUGGCUUUGUCAAAACAGAUAUAAACUGCAAUGCCGGCGUCUUGCCUGUCGAAGAAGGUGGGGCCAGGAUUGUGAAGUUAGCAUUGCUGCCCAGUGAUGGCCCUACUGGCUCCUUCUUUGUUCACAAUGAAGUGUCAGAUCUUUGAUUGAAGAUGAUCCAUUAUGCAAAUUUAAUACGAGUCACUUAUUGGGCAACAUCUCGUACUGUAAUGCAAUUUUAAGUAUUUUGGUAUGUAUAUUGAUUGAAGGAUCUAGUGCAUUGUUUACAUUUCUACCAUUCAUAUGUUAAUGUGCAAAAAUGGUAAACUGAUUUAGUAUGUAAUUGCUGGUUUAGUGUUAUACUUAGCUUAUAGGCUAAGCUGUCUAUAAUAGUCAAAAUGGUUUGUUAAGUCUUAUAGGACUUGACAGGACAGGUGUCAUAGUCUUACUAAUAGUGUAGUUGGAUGGUUGAGAUUGAAGCUAGGAUUUGUCUAGCUCUCUCUCUCUUCUAACAGUAAUAUGAGCUGUGAGUGAAACAGCUCGAUAUACCCAACGAAAUACAAAAAGUUUUACCGAGCAUUUUAUUUCCUUCACUCUCUUUUUCAAUAUACUCAUUCCUCCAUUUUUAUCAGAAGCUUAUUAAACACUAACAUGGCCUCAGAGCCAGGUUGGGUCUGAAUUUCUGGGCAUUGUGACUGUGAGGUUAGGUUUGAAUCUGUGAGCAAAAGCUCGUUGUGUGAUUCUUGAGCUCAAAUCAGUAAUCUAGACUAACAUGUCUGGAUCUGGAGGAGGAGAACUCAGGGCACCCAUUUUUAAUGGUGAAAAUUUCAAUUUCUGGCAAAUCAAAAUGAAAACCAUCUUCCGUUCGCACGAGCUGUGGGAUCUUGUGGAGAAUGGGUACAAAACUCCGACGAAGGAGGGGGAGGAGCUCACGGAGGUAGAGAGGAAGCUGAUGCGUGAGAACUUGGUGAAGGACGCUAGAGCUCUGGGUAUCAUCCAAGGGGCUGUAUCAGAUCAAAUUUUUCCACGAAUUGCAACUUAGGAAUCUACAAAGGCUGCGUGGGAUAUUCUAAAACAAGAAUUUGUGGGUGAUAAGCAGGUAAGAUCUGUGAAACUUCAGGGUCUUAGGCGUGAUUUUGAAUAUACUCGGAUGAGUGAUAAUGAAUCAUUGUUUGGAUAUAUUGCUAAGUUGUUUGAUCUGAUCAACCAAAUGAAGAGCUAUGGUGAGGAUCUGAGCAAUCAACGAAUUGUUCAGAAACUACUUAUUAGUCUGCCUAAGUCCUAUGAUAGUAUUGCAGCUGUGAUAGAGAAUACAAAAGAUUUAGACACUAUUGAUGCUCAGGAUGUUGUUGCUAUUUUAAAAGGAUAUGAGCAGAGGCAGGGGCGGAACUAUUCAUAGGCCUGAGAUGGCCUGGGCCCCCCCAUCAUCUUCUAAACUCUUUGAAUGUAUAAAGAGUAUAGCAUAGAUUGCACAAAAAAUCCUAUAAUUUUAAAGCUUGUGGCCCCCCCAAAUAUUAAACUCUACCUCCGCCACUGAGCAGAGGCUUGAUAGGCAUGGUGACAAUAGUGCAGAGAAGGCUUUUGCUAGCUUCAACGUUGGAUCAAAGGCAACACGGUCUAAUGGUCACACCAGUAAGUCUCAGAAGAAUGCCAAACCACACGGGCAGCAAUGGGGCAACAAGGGUGAUGGAGGUAAUAAGUCUAAUUCCUCAAUGAAAAAUGAGACAUACAACAUUGGAAAUAAAUGCAAAUUCUGUGAUAAAUUGCACUAUGGAGAGUGUUGGUUUAAGAACAAGGUCAAGUGUCACAAGUGUAACAAAAUUGGGCAUAUUGCAAAAUAUUGUCAUACAAACAAGGCUGUGCAGCAUAUGAACUUUGCUAAUCAUGUUGAAGAAACAGGAAACUUAUUCUUUGCUAAUCAUUCUGGAGAAGUAAAGAAGAUGAGUGAUGAAUGGUACAUAGAUAGUGGAUGUAGCAAUCAUAUGACAUCCAGGGAAGACUUGCUUGUAGACAUUGUCAGAGAAGUGAAAGCAAAGGUUCAAGUAGGCAAUGGAGUUUUGGUUGAAGUGGCAGGAAAAGGGACAUUGAUCAUUGAAACAAUGAAGGGUAAGAGGUAUAUAAAGGAGGUUAUGCUUGUACCUAGUCUAGCUGAAAAUUUGCUAAGUGUAGGACAGAAGACAGAGCAUGGCUAUUUUCUUGUAUUUGGAGAUCACAAGGUUGACAUCUUCGAUGAUAGUUCCUUAAGUAACAUGGUGGUAAGUGUAAAGCAAAAGGGGAACAGGUGUUUUCCUUUAACUUUCAACAAAAUCAAGGUGAUUGCCUUGAAAACAAAUGUGCAAGAAUGCUCCAAGAUAUGGCACAAGAGGUUUGGGCACUUAAACUUUCGAAGCCUCAAGCUACUGCAGAGCCAAGCAAUGGUAUUGGGGCUGCCUGAAAUCCAAAACGGUGAAGUGUUGUGCCACAGUUGUGUAUUGUGGAAGGGUCACAGGGAGCCAUUUCCUAAGGAAUCAAAGUGGAGAGCCAAGGAGCCAUUAGAAUUGAUUCAUUCAGACUUGUGUGGUCCAAUGCAAACAGCAAGCCUAGGUGGAAAUAAAUAUUUUAUCACAUUCAUAGAUGAUUUUUCAAGGAUGUGCUGGGUUUAUUUUCUGAGAAACAAGUCCGAGACAUUCCAUGUGUUCAAGAAAUUCAAAGUAAUGGUGGAGCUUCAAUCCGGAUACCAUGUGAAGAGGUUGAGGAUUGAUCGGGGAGGAGAAUACAUCUCAGCUGAUUUUCUCCAGUUUUGUGAAAAUCUGGGAAUAGAAAGGCAACUCACAGUUGCUUAUUCUCCACAGCAAAAUGGCGAUGCGGAGAGGAAAAACAGAACCAUUGUAGAAAUGGCAAAGUGCAUGAUUCAUGACAAGGAGCUUCCCUACACGCUUUGGUGUGAGGCAGUGAAUACCUCUGUGUAUUUACUUAAUAGAAGUCCAACCCGAGCUUUGGAGAAUACUACACCUUUUGAGAAGUUUAGUGGGAGAAAGCCUGGAGUUAAACAUCUCAAGGUGUUUGGCUCGGUGUGUUACUCACUUAUUCCUGGAAAGUUAAGGCAUAAGCUAGAAGCAACAAGUGCCAUAUGAGUUUUUAUUGGUUAUGGUAGAUGUGAGAAGGGAUAUAGAAUAUUGAAUCCUGCAACUCAGAAGGUUUUGCUGUCAAGGGAUGCGGUUUUUGAUGAGCAUGGAAAAUGGAACUGGGAGCAACACAAAGUGAAAGAAAUCUGCAUUCCACUUCCUACAGAUGAACUGUCAGAUAUGAGAACAGCUGAAUCAAAAGAAGAACCUACUUUCCAAGAACCUGAAACAGAAGAAGAACCUGCAGAUGAUCCCUCAGUUGAUGACACACCUUUGAGGUACAGAAAUUUGAGUGAGAUCUAUGCAAGUUGCCAUUCAUGGAUAGUGGAGCCUGAGAACUUUGAUGAAGCUGCACGGGAUGAAGCUUGGAAGAAGGCAAUGGAAAAUGAGAUGAACAUGGUUGAGAAGAAUCAGACGUGGGAAUUGGUAAAUAGACCUUUCAACAAACCUAUAAUUGGAGUAAAAUAGGUGUACAAGACUAAGUUGAACUUGGAUGGUUCGGUUCAAAAGCAUAAAGCUAGACUAGUUGCAAAGGGCUAUGCACAAAAGCCUGGAAUAGAUUAUAAUGAAACCUUUGCACCAGUGGCAAGGUUGGAUACUAUACGAACUCUCAUUGCCUUGGCUGCAAAGAAUAGUUGGAAAAUGUAUCAAUUAGAUGUGAAAUCAGCUUUUCUAAAUGGAGUGCUUCAAAAGGAGGUGCAUGUAGAGCAGCCCGAUGGUUUUAUUGUGCAAGGAGAAGAGGAUAAAGUGUAUAAAUUGCACAAAGCCUUGUAUGGCUUGAAACAGGCUCCUAGAGCCUGGUAUGGAGAAAUAGACUCUUAUCUCGUGCAAUGUGGUUUUAAAAGGAGCACAAGUGAGGCAACAUUAUAUGUUAAAGGCAGGGGAACCUCGGAUUUGGUCAUAGUAUCUAUCUAUGUGGAUGAUAUAGUUUAUACAGGGAAUUCUCAAGAGCUAAUGCAAGAUUUCAAGACUAAUAUGAUGCAGAGGUAUGAGAUGACUGAUUUGGGUUUGCUACAUCACUUUCUAGGAAUGGGAAUUAUCCAAAGUGAAGACUACAUUUUCAUAUACCAGAAGAAAUAUGCUUCCACACUUUUGGAAAGGUUUGGUCUGCAGGAUUGUAAACCGGUUGGUAUUCCUCUUGUACCAACUGAUAAAUUGAAGAGAGAUGAUGAAAGUGGAGCUUCAAAUGAAGCUGAAUACAGAAAACUAGUGGGAAGUCUACUCUACCUCACUUUCUCGCUCUGAUAAAACUCUUUUAAGAUAAAGCUCUCACACUCUCAAAUUUCUCUCUCUCUAUUUUCUCUUUGGAUACCGUAUUCUACAACUGAAUGAGCAAGCCUAUUUAUAGUCAAAUUGGGUGGCUUCAUGUGCAUCUCCAAAGUCUUCUUCUCCCAACAUCAUCAUUUUCCUUUUGACUAUCAUUUUCUUAUUUUCUUUGUGUGGGCUCCAUCUACAUCCUUUACAACAUAAUCAACAAUUUUCUACUUCUUAUUAUUUAUUUGAAUAUGAACCUCAAAAUUCAAAGGCCUUCCAAGAAAAUUUCACUAUAAAAGAAAAGAAGGCUCUCCUUCUAUUUAAUACACAUCUCAAUUCUCACAGGCCGUCCCGUUUCGAAUCUAUCAAUGGCAGAAGCAACAAAGAGGUAGCACUUUAGACUUCUUUAUGCUUUGUUUCCUUGUCCGAUUUCCAAUCCCUUUAAUUGUUUUUGUUUCUAUGAAAUUGGUGUUUGUGUUUUCUUAGGUAUGCAGUUGUUACUGGAGCAAACAAAGGCAUAGGAUUGGAAACUGUCAGGCAGUUGGCCUCAAAGGGGUUCACCGUAGUCUUAACUGCCCGAGAUGAGAAGAGGGGUCUUGAAGCUGUUGAGAAACUCAAAGAGUCUGGCCUCUCUGGUCAAGUGGUUUUUCAUCAACUUGAUGUAGCUAACCCUGCUACUGUUGCUUCCUUGGCAAACUUCAUCAAAAUCCAGUUUGGGAAACUCGAUAUCUUGGUAUAUAUAUGAUCAUAGCUGCAGGUUUCUUCAAAAAAGUUUCUGUCUUUUGAAUCCAACUCGUAAUCCAAAUGCGAUUUAGUGGAAGGAGAAGAAAUAUGGCAUUGGAGAAUAAAAACGGCAAACCAAGUAAUACUAGCUUAAUAAUAUCAUCAAGAAGUUAAUCUUUGAAAUAAUUAGAAGUCCUAGGCUUUUUGAAGAACAAAACAAGUUUCACAUAACUACCAGUUGUGGAAGGUUUUACUUUCAAAUCUAACUCUAUGUCUGCCACUCUGUUUUUGUUUCUUGGAAUCUUUUCAUAUAUGAUAUAAUCCCUUUCUGUACAAUUUACAAGUACCCUAGUAAGAUCAGUGGCUGGAGUUGAGGGGUUUGGCAAAGUAGCAUAAUUAUUGUGCUUCUUUAAAGGGAUUGGCCUUUAUGGUUGGUAAUAGUAUGGUUGUAACAACAAAGAGAUUGUCAGAGUAAUCAGAUAGUGAAACAGACAGUGAAACAGUAUGGUUGUAUCAACUUUCUUUUCAUUUCAUUUUCUAUAAAAACAUGUCUGUUCUUUUCUUUGCUAAAAGAAAACAGAUAGUGAAACAGUUGGACUCUGCACAGGUGAACAAUGCAGGGAUUGGUGGAAGUAUAGUAGAUGGUGAUGCUUUAAAAGCUGCUGUAGCCUCUGGUGCCAUGGUAAGUUUUUUGCAUAAUUUUUAUCAAUAGCUAUCAAAAACUAAAAGCUUCAAUGAAUGUGACAAAGUUAGAAUAUAAACUGAUCUGUGGUUUGGCAAACUUUAAUCAACAUUUUUCUUGUUUUGGGUGGGUGUGUAAGUGGUGGGCAAUAGGCACCUUAAUAAUAAGUUUGCUUUUACUGAUACAGGAAAGAGGAGAAGUUGAUUUGAGUAAACUAAUGACUGAAACUUAUGAGUUAACAGAAGAAUGCUUGCAAAUAAACUAUUAUGGUGCUAAAAGAACAGCUGAAGCACUUAUCCCACUCCUCCAGUUAUCUGACUCACCGAGAAUUGUUAAUGUUUCAUCUUCCAUGGGGAAGUUGGAGAAGAUACCAAGCCAUCGGGCUAGAAGAGUUUUUACUGAUGCUGAAAACCUAACAGAAGAGAGAGUAGAUGAGGUACUGACCGAGCUUCUAAAAGACUUCAAGGAGGGUUCACUUGAAAGGAAGGGCUGGCCUUCUUCUAUGUCUGCCUCUACAGUCUCAAAAGCAGCACUGAACGCAUAUACAAGAAUUCUAGCAAAGAAGUACCUCAAUUUUCGUAUCAAUUCAGUCUGCCCGGGCUUUGUCAAAACAGAUAUAAACUACAAUGUCGGUGUCCUACCUGUCGAAGAAGGGGCUGCAAGGGUUAUGAAGUUAGCAUUGCUGCCCAAUGAUGGCCCUACUGGCUCCUUCUUUGUUCACAAUGAAGUGUCGGAUCUUUGAUUGAAGAAGAUCCAUAUAUGCAAAUUUAAUACGAUUCGCUUAUUGGGCAACAUCUUGUACUGUAAUGUAAUUUUAAGUAUUUUGGACACCAACAGAUCCUUUUGACGUUCUUUCUACAUUCAAUAAGAGGAUGGCAUAUAUGAUGUUUUAUCUAUGUAAAAUUUCACCAUAGCACACUGUUUAAAUAACAAAAGAAAGGGUCAGGUGUUUCUGGCCUAACCGGAAGCUCCGAGCUGGCUUGAUAACCUUCCCCUUUGGUUUUAGAGAAAGACUUAGCUGUCCUAGGGUGACUACUCCUCUUUCUUUCCUGUAGCAUCUUGUGAUGCAUGCAAGUUUCUUGCGUUUUGAGAAGAGAGACAACGCUGCCAAAUAAAGGCUAAAAGAGUAUUGAGUAAGGCAGUCGCAUCUGAAAUCACAUACACAAGGAGUUUUUUUUCUUUUAGAAAUGGAAUUCAUUCAUAGAAUCAAAGUAGCGUAUAUAGAACGACACAAAACAGUGACCUAGUUAAAACAUUGUUUAGGGAUAAAUUUUAGGGUAGGAAAGAGUACCACAUAUAUCAUUGACUAACAAGAGAGUCUAAAACAAUCACGCAUGACCAAUGCUAGAGCAAGAUAAAAUAAAACAACAAAUUGACACAUAGACCUCCGACGAGAACACUAUAACAUAGUCCAAUUGCCAAAAGAGUCAUACUAUGAAAUUAUAGUCCUUUUGAAGCAACGAGAUAUAGGGAUAGGGAGAUCGAACGAUAACCUUACAAUUAACAAUGUCGGAAUCCACCAACAAACUAAUUCACCAGAGAGUAAAUCUCAAAUAUAUUGAUUGAAAAUGAGAUGAAUAAACUGACAAACACAAUGCCAUGAGUUGGCUUAAAUAGAAAACGAAGAAACCCUAAAACAGUAGGAAACCCUAUGUUCUAGUAUAUUCCUAAACUUACCUAACAAGAAAAUAAUAAAAAUCAUAGCUAAAAUCAUAAUAACAAAAUAAUAUCCUAAUAGAUAACUUAUUCUUCCAAAUAUAAAAUAAAACAUUAAAUUAAAUACAAUCUUGACAGAAUCAUAAUUGCUUCAAACUUCCUUAAUCAAUUAGAAAAUCCCAACGAUACGCCUUGCUUCUUUUCCUACAUUUAAUUGGAAUUUUCCUCUCUUGCAUGAUUUUCUUCCAACUUUGAGCCACUCCACUUUAUUUUAAUUAAUUUUUCACACUUCGUCCUACAUCACCAUUGCACAGCCACAAGACAUUGAGAGCACCCGAUAGAGAACACAAUACACCAAGAAGAAAGAAAACAUCCACUAAGCACACCAUCUCUAACCAACUCCAAUUGCAAUUGGUGAUGAAAGAAGAGAAAUAUGUAAGGAACAACACAAAGAAGAAACUAACCACACAAACAGGCCAGGAAAGAAAAUAAAAUAAAAAAAGCCCUCAAGCACGCUGUAUCAUCUCAACACUGACAAAGAAACCUCCUAUAAAAGCAUAGUCCUAGUGACAGGCGGAGAAUCAAAGAUCAAUUAAGAAGAGAACGAAGAAAACACCACGCAACAAUAACAAAAUUGGUCUAGCCAUUUAACAUGAAUACAGGGAUCAAGCACAAGAGCAUUCGCCAGAUGUCAAGCCCACGAAUGCUCCAAGAACACAUUAAGGAAGACUCCCAAGAGAUUCCAAAAACAAUAUCAUUAAUAUUGCAAACAAGCUAACUUUUCUUUUUUCAAAUUUACCCUUAUUAAAUAUUUUUAUUCAAAAAUUUUACAACUUUUUUAUUACUCUCUCCCACUAUCACAUUCUCUCUCUCACACACCCAGACCCAUCUUCAUAACCCACCACUCCACCCAGACCCAUCCUCACACUUGGACUCCAUUUAUUAAGCAAAUUGACACCUUCGCUUUGGCAAAGUCAACAAAUGAAACUUCACAUGCACCUCUUGAGUCUUAAUUGAGAAUCCUAACACGAUUUGUGAGCCUGCUCGUUUUGCAGAAAAAAAAUUUCCAGCUCCCUCCCCUUAACCCAAAUUCAAAACCAUUUGGAAGACUCCCACCGUCGCUUUUCCCCCUUCUCCAUCAUCCCUGCACUUAUACCUCACCAACCCUCCCUGCAAUUUCUCACCACACCCACCCCCACCCCCACCCCUUUCCCCAAUCUCUAUGUACAUCCUCCCUGAAAUUUGGGUUUCUGCAAAAGAACAAAAAAAAAAAAAAAAAAAAAAAAAAGAUGACAAAAUCAUCGUAUUCAUAUUUUUGUGGAUAGACGUGUGAAGGAGGUAUUGUAAAAUAAAUAAAUAAAGAUCAAACAUGGGUGGGGUGGAAAAUGAAUGUGGCUGUUGGGUUUUCAUCGGCGGGGGAGGAGUCGAGGUUGUGGUGGGAAAAUGAAAUUAAUGGCUGGGGUGGGAGGUGGGGGUGGCUGCGCAGGUGGGAGGAGAGAUGAGUUGUGGGUGUUGACUGCUGGGUUUUCCCAGAGGAGGGGGCCAGGGCGAGUUGGGGUGGGGAUCGGGUGAUUGAAAAACCCCUUUUUUUAUUGUUUAUUAUUUUUUUUUAAAAAAAAGGGUAAAUACGGAAAUACAAUUAAUGUUCUUUUGUGUAAUUAAAUUAUUAGUUUAAGUGAGAGGGAAGUGACAUGUGUCGUGAGUAAAAGAACGAAAAUUCAAAAGAGAAAGUUAGAAAAAAGAUGCUAGCAUUCCCCAUCCUUAAACACAAAAAUCCAAACAAAUCCGAUUACUUCUUAUCAUUUAUUUGAAUACAGACCUUUAAAUUCAAAGGCUUUCCAGAAGAGAAGGCCUCUUCCUUCUGUUCAAAGGCUUCCCAUUUCGAAUAUAUCAAUGGCAGAAGCAACAAAGAGGUAGCACUUUAGAGUCCUUUCUGCUUUGGUUCCUUGUCACAUCUCCAUUCGCUCUAAUUGUUUCUGCUUACCAUUUUUGUGUUAUGAAUUUGGUGUUUUUGUUUUUCCAGGUAUGCAGUUGUUACUGGGGCAAACAAAGGCAUAGGAUUGGAAACUGUGAGGCAAUUGGCCUCAAAUGGAUUCACUGUAGUUUUAACUGCCAGAGAUGAGAAAAGGGGUCUUGAAGCUGCUGAGAAACUCAAAGAGUCUGGCCUCUCAGGUCAAGUGGUUUUUCAUCAACUUGAUGUGGCUAACCCAGCUACUGUUGCUUCCUUGGCAGACUUCAUCAAAACCCAGUUUGGGAAACUCGAUAUCUUGGUAAGUAUAUGAUCAUAGCUGCAGGUUUCUUGAAAAAGUUUAUGUCUCUUGAAUUGAACUCUUAAUCCGAACGCGAUUUAAUUGAAGGAGAUGAAAUAUGGAAUCAUAUAGCAAAUGAAAUUGGAGAAUAAAAAUAGCAAACCAAGUGUUAACUAGCUUAAUAAAUGUCAUCAAGAAGUUAAUCUUUGAAAUAAUUAGAAGUCUUAGGGUUUUUGAAGAACAAAAUAAGUUUCACAUAAACUACCAGUUGUGGAAGAUUUUACCUUCAAAUCUAACUCUAUGUCUGCCACUCUGUUUUUGUUUCUUGGAAUCUUUUCAUAUAUGAUAUGAUCCCUUUCUGUACAAUUUACAAGUACCUUAGAAAGAUCCGUGGCUGGAAUUAAGGGGUUUGGCAAAGUAGCAUAAUUAUUGUGCUUCUUUAAAGGCAUUGGCCUUUAUGGUUGGUAUGGUUGUAAAAACAAAGAGAUUGUCAGAGUACUCAGAGGAUCUAUCAACUUACUUUUCAUUUCAUUUUCUAUAAAAUAAAAAAAUCUGUUCUUUUCUUUACUAAAAGAAAACAGAAAGUGAAACAGUUGGACUCUGCACAGGUGAACAAUGCAGGGAUUUUUGGAAGCAUAUUAGAUGGUGAUGCUUUUAAAGCUGUAAUAGCCUCUGGUGCCGUGGUAAGUCUUUUGCAUAAUUUUUAUCAAUAGCUAUCAAAAACUAAAAGCUUCAAUGUAUGUGCCAAAGUGAGAAUUUAAACUGAUCUGUGGUUUGGCAAACUUUAAUAAACAUUUUUCUUGUUUGGGGUGUUGUGUAAGUGGUGGGCAAUAGGCAUCAUAAUAAUAAGUUUGCUUUUGUUGAUACAGGAAGGAGGAGAAGUUGAUUUGAGUAAACUAGUGACUGAAACGUAUGAGUUAACAGAAAAAUGCUUGCAAAUAAACUAUUAUGGUGCUAAAAGAACAGCUGAAGCACUUAUCCCACUCCUCCAGUUAUCUGACUCACCGAGAAUUGUUAAUGUUUCGUCUGGCUCGGGGAAGUUAAAGAAGAUACCAAGUGAUUGGGCUAAAGGAGUUUUUACUGAUGCCGAAAACCUAACAGAAGAGAGAGUAGAUAAGGUACUGACUGAGCUUCUAAAAGAUUUCAAGGAGGGUUCACUUGAAAGUAAGGGCUGGCCUUCUUCUAUGCCUGCCUAUAUAGUCUCAAAAGCAGCACUGAACGCAUAUACAAGGAUUCUAGGAAAGAAGUACCCCACUUUUCGUAUCAAUUCAGUCUGCCCUGGCUUUGUCAAAACAGAUAUAAACUUCAAUGCCGGCGUCUUGCCUGUCGAAGAGGGUGGUGCCAGGAUUGUAAAGUUAGCAUUGCUGCCCAAUGAUGGCCCUACUGGCUCCUUCUUUGUUCACGAUGAAGUGUCAGAUUUUUGAUUGAAGAUGAUCCAUUUAUGCAAAUUUAAUACGAGUCAUUUAUUGGGCAACAUUUGGUACUGUAAUGUAAUUUUAAGUAUUUUGGUAUGUAUAUUGAUUGAAGGAUCUAGUGCAUUGUUUACAUUUCUACUAUUCAUCUGGCUCUUGGACUCAUAUUAUCAUUUACAAUGUUAUUCAGUCAGAAAUUCUAUGUGAUCGAUGUCCGGUAUUAUCGAUAGUAUAUCAAUAACAUUUCGGUAUAUUUUGUUAGACUUAAGUUAGAGACAAUAAUAUUGACAGUCCAUCAUUUAAUUAAGGACGAAGUUUUGAGAAGAAUUGAUUAUUCAAUAUUAUCCAACUUAAAUUGUAAUAGCACAAUCGCAAACUUCUGCAGUCAAUUGUGUAAACGAAGGCAUAGGAUUGGAAACUGUCAGGCAGUUGGCCUCAAAAGGAUUCACUGUAGUCUUAACUGCCAGAGAUGAGAAGAGGGGUCUUGAAGUUGUUGGGAAACUCAAAGAGUCUGGCUCCUCAGGUCAAGUGAUUUUUCAUUAGCUUGAUGUGGCUAACCCAGUAACACAGGAGAAGGUUAAUGUUAAAUUGAGUGGCUGAUAUAUAUCAUGCUUAUUGUGUCCACUUCCAGUUGUGUACACGUACCAAGUACCCUAGAAAGAUCAGUGGCUGGAAUUAAGACCCACAUUCAGAGGACUCUCACCCUUAUUUAAGUGUGCUACCGGUGCGGCAGUUUUAUCGAAGAUUUUUUCCUAUCAAAAGGUGAAAGUUGUCACAAGUAAAUUAAUAUCCAUGUUUCUACUAGGAUAUAUUAGUCAAUUAGAAAUUUUCUGCGCAAGUUGAAAAGUCUUGCAUGCGAAACUGCUUGCCACUGCCACCACCAAAAUUCAACAACGUGAGCACUUGCGUCACCACUACCCCAUUAUUUUCCUUUAAAAUCUUCACAACAAAAUUCCAAACAAGUCUUGGUCCCUCUUUCACCACAAUAUCCAAUUACUGCUAGAAAACACUAGAAGCAUCCUCCCUCCAGUAUGUAAUAGGAACAACAGAACCAACAAUUUUCAUCUUCUUCUUAAUAUUUAUCUUAAUAUAAUCCCCAGAAUUCAAAGGCUUUUCAAGAACAUUUCACUAUAAAAGAGAAGAAGGCUGUUGCUGUUUAAUACACAUCUCAAUUUUCCCAGACCGUCCCGUUUCGAAUCUAUCAAUGGCAGAAGUAACAAAGAGGUAGCACUUUAAAGUACUGCUUUCAUAACAAUUUCUCACUAUUUUUGUGUUCUGAAUUUGGUGUUUUUUGUUUUCUCAGGUAUGCAAUUGUUACUGGAGCAAACAAAGGCGUAGGAUUGGAAACUGUCAGGCAGUUGGCCUCAAAUGGAUUUAUUGUAGUCUUGACUGCCAGAGAUGGCAAGAGGGGUCUUGAAGCUGUUGAGAAACUCAAAGAGUCUGGCCUCUCUGGUCAAGUGGUUUUUCAUCAACUUGAUGUAGCUAACCCUGCUAGUGUUGCUUCCUUGGCAGACUUCAUCAAAACCCAGUUUGGGAAACUGGAUAUCUUGGUAUGUAUAUGAUCAUAGCUGCAGGUUUCUUGAAAAAGUUUCUGUCUUUUGAAUCCAACUCUUAAUCCAAAUGCGAUUUUGUUGACGGAAUUGGAGAAUAAAAAUAGCAAACCAUCUACAUUUGUUUCUUGGAAUCCUUUCAUAUAUGAUGUGAUCCCUUUCUGUACAAUUUACAAGUACCCUAUAAAGAUCAGUGGCUGGAGUUAAGGGGUUUGGAAAAGUAGCAUGGUUGGUUUGGUUGUAAAACAAAGAGAUUAUCCAAGUAAUCAGAGGAUCUAUCAACUUUCUUUUCAUUUCAUUUUCUAUAGAAAAAAAUUAUGUUCUUUUCUUUGCUAAAAGAAAACAGAUAGUGAAACAGUUGGACUCUGCACAGGUGAACAAUGCAGGAAUUUUUGGAAGCAUAAUAGAUGUUGAUGCUUCUAAAGCUGCUGUAGCCUCUGGUGCCAUGGUAAGUCUUUUGCAUAAUUUUAUCAAUAGCUAUCAAAAACUAAAAGCUUCAAUCUAUAUGCCAAAGUGAGAAUUUAAAAUGAUUUGUGGUUUGGCAAACUUUAAUCAACAUUUUUCUUGUUUGGAGUGUUGUGCAAGUGGUGGGCAAUAGGCACCAUAAUAAUAAGUUUGCUUUUGCUGAUACAGGCAAGAGGAGAAGUUGAUUUGAGUAAACUAGUGACUGAAACUUAUGAGUUAACAGAAGAAUGCUUGCAAAUAAACUAUUAUGGUGCUAAAAGAACAGCUGAAGCACUUAUCCCACUCCUCCAGUUUUCUGACUCACCGAGAAUUGUUAAUGUUUCUGCUGGCUUGGGGAUGUUAAACAACAUACCAAGCGAUUGGGCUAGAGGAGUUUUUACUGAUGCCGAAAACCUAACAGAAGAGAGAGUAGAUGAGGUACUGACUGAGCUUCUAAAAGAUUUCAAGGAGGGUUCACUUGAAAGUAAGGGCUGGCCUUCUUCUAUGCCUGCCUAUAUAGUCUCAAAAGCAGCACUGAACGCAUAUACAAGGAUUCUAGCAAAGAAGUACCCCAAUUUUCGUAUCAAUUCAGUCUGCCCUGGCUAUGUCAAAACAGAUAUGAACUUCAAUGCCGGCCUCUUGCCUGUCGAAGAAGGUGGUGCCAGGGUUGUGAAGUUAGCAUUGCUGCCCAAUGAUGGCCCUACUGGCUCCUUCUUUGUUCAGAAUGAAGUGUCGGAUCUUUGAUUGAAGAUGAUCCAUUCAUGCAUAUUUAAUACAUGUCACCUAUUGGGCAACUUCUUGUACUGUAAUGUAAUUUUAAGUAUUUUGGACACCAGCAGAUUCUUUUUUGGUUCUUUCUACAUUCAAUACGAGGAUGGCAUGUAUAUGAUGCUUUUUAUCUAGGUAAAAUUUCACCAAAGCACAAUGUUUAAAUAACAAAAGAAACUGCACCCCAAAAAAGAAUAGAAAAGUUCAGGUGUUUCUGGCCUCACAGGAAGCUCUCAGCUGACUUGACCUUCCCCUUUGGUUUUUGGGGAAAGACUUAGCUGUCCUGGGGUGACUACUCCUUGUUCCUUCCUAUAGAAUCUUGUGAUGUAUGCAAGUUUCUUGCGUUUAGAGAGGAGAGACAACACUCCCAAAUAAAGGCCGAAAAAGUCACAUUUGUUAUAAAACUAAAGAAAUUGAAGAGAGAAUUUAGAGAAUUCAAAUAGCGACAGGAAUGCUCUUCCGUUAUUUUCAUUGAGAUUUUCUUCUAUAUCUACAAAUGAGAAUGAAGCUAUAGUUUUAUAGGCAAAGCCUUGGCUAACAAUUCGGUAAAUAGAAGACUCCAAGAAGGUGUAUGGAGAUUCCCUUCCAACAUGUGGGCUUCACUUUAUCAUCUUACAACAACAUUAGGGGGUCUCACCCUUUUUUGAGUGUGCUACCAGUCAUUAUGAGAUCCAUGUUUCAACAUGAUAUUAUUAUUUACCUUACCAGUCAAUCAGAAAAAGUAAGUAGGGUCUACACAAAAUUAGAAAUUGAAUUCUUGAUUUGAGGGGAAUUCAAUUUUUGAGUGGGAUGUGGUAUUUUAAUUUCAGGAGAACUAACUUAUUAGAAAUUCAUCUUUUUUACUCAUUAUAUCUUCAUACAAUUUUAAAAUUUCCAAAUUUGUUAUCUAUUUUAACUCGACAAUGAGGACAUUUUAGUAAUUAGUACAACUCCUACCUCAAUUUCAUAUGGUUUAGUAAACAACUUUAAUAGGAAUUUGGAAUCUAACUCUCCUCAAUCCAUAUAAUUUAGCAAACAACUUCAAUAAGAAUACGGAUUCUAAUUCUCCUUAAUCUAACUCAUCCUCAAUUCAAUUCCUCUUAAUCCGUACUCACCACCCCCAUUCUUUUCCUUCUAGAAAACGUUAGAAGCAUCCUCAAUCCAGUAUUUAUAUAGGAACAAACGAAUCAAAAAAUUUCUUCUUCUCAUUAUUAUUUAUUUGAAUAUAGACCUCAAAAUUCAAAGGCUUUCCAAGAACAUUACACUAUAAAACAAAAGAAGGCUCCUUCCUUAUUUUUAAUUAAUCUCAAUUCUCACAGACCGUCCCGUUUCGAAUAUAUCAAUGGCAGAAGCAACAAAGAGGUAGCACUUUAAAGUCCUUUAUGCUUUGAAGUACUGCUUCCAUAACAAUUUCUCACUAUUUUUUGUGUUAUGAAUUUGGUGUUUGUGUUUUCUCAGGUAUGCAGUUGUUACUGGAGCAAACAAAGGCAUAGGAUUGGAAACUGUGAGGCAAUUGGCCUCAAAUGGAUUCACUGUAGUCUUAACUGCCAGAGAUGAGAAAAGGGGUCUUGAAGCUGUUGAGAAACUCAAAGAAUCUGGCCUCUCACGUCAAGUGGUUUUUCAUCAACUUGAUGUGGCUAACCCUGCUACUGUUGCUUCCUUGGCAGAGUUCAUCAAAACCCAGUUUGGAAAACUCGAUAUCUUGGUAUGUGUAUGAUCAUAGCUGCAGGUUUCUUGAAAAAGUUUCUGUCUUUUGAAAUAAUUAUGUCUUAGGCGUACACAAUAUCCACACAGGUGAAGGUUAUAUUAGAGACUGUAAAAUUGAGUGGCUGAUCCAUAUAUUGCUUGCUUAUUGUGACCACUUCCAGUCGUGGAAGAUUUUACUAUCAAAUCUGACUCUAUGUCUGUCACAUUGUUUUUUCGGUUUUUUUUUGGUGUGGAAUUCUUUCCAUAUAUAUGCUAUAUGAUCCCUCUCUGAACAAUUUACAAGUACCCUAGAAAGAUCAGUGGCUGGAGUUAAGGGGUUUGGGAAAGGCAUAAUUGUUGGCCCUUGUGGUUGGUUUGGUUGUAACAACAAAAGAGAUUUAUCCAAGUAAUCAGAGGAUCUACCUUCUUCCAAUUAAUUUCAAUUUCUAGAAAAAAUUUCAGUUCUUUUCUUUGCUAAAAGAACCCAAAUAGUGAAACAGUUGGACUCUGCACAGGUGAACAAUGCAGGGAUUAGUGGACGCCAAGUAGACGGUGAUGCUCUUAAAGCUGUAGUAGACUCUGGUGCCAUGGUAAGUCUUUUGGAUAAUUUUUAUCAAUAGCUAUCAAAAACUAAAAGCUUCAAUGUAUGUGCUUAAUAUGAAUGUAAGUUCUCAUGAUGUCUUCCUCUGUCUUGAAAUAUUUUCAUUGUGAUGUGCAUGUCAAACUUUGAUCACCAUUUUUCUUGUUUGGGAUGGUUGUAAGUGGUUGGCAAUAGCCACCAUAAUAAGUUUGUUCUUACUGAUGCAGGAAAGAGGAGAAGUUGAUUGGAGUAAAUUAAAGAUAGAAACUUAUGAGUUGGCAGAAGAAUGCUUGCAAAUAAACUACUAUGGUGCUAAAAAAACGGCUGAAGCACUUAUCCCACUCCUCCAGUUAUCUGACUCACCGAGAAUUGUUAAUGUUUCCUCUUCCUUGGGGAAGUUAAAGAACAUACCUAGUGAUUGGGCUAAAGGAGUUUUUACUGAUGCUGAUAACCUAACAGAAGAGGGAGUAGUUGAGGUACUGACUGAGCUUCUAAAAGCCUUCAAGGAGGGUUCACUUGAAAGUAAGGGCUGGCCUUCUUCUUUGUCUGCCUAUAUAGUCUCAAAAGCUGCACUAAACGCUUAUACAAGGAUUCUAGCAAAGAAGUACCCCGAUAUUCGUAUCAAUUCGGUAUGCCCCGGCUUUGUCAAAACAGAUCUAAACUCCAAUGCCGGCGUCUUGCCUGUCGAAGAAGGUGGUGCCAGGGUUGUGAGUAUAGCAUUGCUGCCCAAUGAUGGCCCUUCUGGUUCCUUCUUUGUUCAGUAUGAAGUGUCAGAUCUUUGAUUGAAGAUGAUCCAUUUAUGCAAAUUUAAUACAUGUCACUUGUUGGGCAGCAUCUUGAACUUUGAUGUAAUUUAAGUAUAUUUGGAACCAGCAGCGGAUCCUUUUUAUGUUCUUUCUACAUUCAAUAAGAGGAUGGCAUAUAUGAUGCUUAUUGUUGUAGCCAUAUUUAAUUGUGCAACAUUCUCUAUCUAAUAGUCCUCUAUGAUUGCAUCUUUAUGAAAUUAUCUCCCACAUCUGGAAUUGAUUGAAGCAUCUGGUGCAUUGUUUGUUUACAUUUCUACUAUUCAUCUGCCUCUUGAACUCAUGUUAUCAUUUGCAUUGUUAUUCAGUCAGAAAUUCUAUGUGAUUCAUGUUCAUCCUUUGAUCGAUAUUAUUGAUGGUAUAUUGAUAACAUUUAGGUAUAUUUUGUGACAUAUGUCAGAGAAUAAUAUUGACACCUUCUGCAGUCAAUUGUUUAAAAAAACAAAAAGACAACAUAGGUCUCGUUAACAAUUAUGUAAUUUUGGAGCGGUUAAAUUCACCAAUCUUGCCGACGAAACUGCUUCAGCCUUGGCAUGUGGUUGAUGGUUGAGUUAAGCUCUCUCUGCUCUGCCACCACCACCAAAAUGCUUAAACAAUGGGAGCACUUGCGUCACCACCCCCAUUCUUUUCCUUAAUUCUUAAAAGAAAAAUCCAAACAAAUGUUGUUUUCCCAUCAGAUUACUUCUAGGAAACAUUCGACGCAAGCAUCCUCCCUCCAGUAUAGGAACAAACGAGUCUUAACAAUUUUCUUGCUCUUAUUAUUAUUUAUUUGAAUAUCAAACUUGAAAUGUGCAAAGGUUUUCCCACAGACAGACGAUCCCAUAAACGAAUCAGCAAUGGCAGAAGCAAGAAAGAGGUGGCACCUUAGAGUCCAUACCCUUUGAUUACUUCUAUAACAAUUUCUCACUCUUGUUUUUGUUUCCUUUUUGCUUUCCUAUUUUUGUUAUGAAAUUGGUGUUUCUUCUUUUGUUUUUCCAGGUAUGCAGUUGUUACUGGGGCAAACAAAGGCAUAGGAUUGGAAACUGUCAGGCAGUUGGCCUCAAAAGGAUUCACUGUAGUCUUAACUGCCAGAGAUGAGAAGAGGGGUCUUGAAGCUGUUGAGAAAUUCAAAGAAUCUGGCCUCUCAGGUCAAGUGGUUUUUCAUCAACUUGAUGUGGCUAACCCUGCUAGUCUUGCUCCUUUGGCAGACUUCAUCAAAACCCAGUUUGGGAAACUCGAUAUCUUGGUAUGUAUGAUCAUAGCUACAGGGUUAAUGUAAAAUUGAGUGAUCUAUAUCAUGCUUAUUGUGUCCACUUCCAGUUGUGGAAGAUUUUACUUUGAAGUCUAAAUCUAACUCUAACUAUAUGAAAGAUCAGUGACUGGAAUUAAGUGGUGUGACAAAGUAGCAUACUUAUUGGCCUUCUUUGAAGAGCACUGGUUGGUUAUAGCAGAUAGUUUAUCCAAGUAAUCAAAGCAUCUACCAACUUUCUUUUAAUUCCAUCUUGUAGAUGUUUUUUUCUUUGCUUUUGUUUGCAAAAGUAAAACAAGUAGUGAAACAGUUGGACUCUGCACAGGUGAACAAUGCAGGGAUUGGUGGAAGCACAGCGGAUCCUGAUGCCUUUAGAGCUGUAGUAGAGUCUGGUGCCUUUGUAAGUCUUUCAGAUAAUUCUUAUCAAUAGCUACCAAAAACUUAAAGCUUUAAUGUAUGUGUUUAAUGUGAAAAUUUAAAUUGAUCUGUGGUUUGGCUUAAUGCUAUGGCAAUUAGUAGGGGAAAUGAUCUGUGUAACAUCACCAGGCUGGUAUGAUUCGGGUGGGUGUGUAAGUAGUUGGCAAUAGCCACCGUAAUAAGUUUGUUCUUACUGAUGCAGGGAAGAGGAGAAGUUGAUUGGAGUAAACUAAGUACUGAAACUUAUGAGUUGGCAGAAGAAUGCUUGCAGAUAAACUAUUAUGGUGCUAAAAGAACAGCUGAAGCACUUAUCCCACUCCUCCAGUUAUCCGAUUCACCGAGAAUUGUUAAUGUUUCGUCUUUCAUGGGGAAGUUAAACAACAUACCGAGCGGUUGGGCUAAAGUAGUUUUUACUGAUGCAGAAAACCUAACAGAAGAGAGACUAGAUGAGGUACUGACUGAGCUUUUAAAAGCCUUCAAGGAGGGUUCACUUGAAAGUAAGGGCUUUCCUUCUUCUUUGUCAGCCUAUAUAGUCUCAAAAGCUGCACUGAACGCAUAUACUAGGAUUCUAGCAAAGAAGUACCCCACUUUUCGUAUCAAUUCGUUAUGCCCUGGCUUUGUCAAAACAGAUAUAAACUACAAUGUCGGUGUCCUACCUGUCGAAGAAGGGGCUGCAAGGGUUAUGAAGUUAGCAUUGCUGCCCAAUGAUGGCCCUUCUGGCUCCUUCUUUGUUGAGUACGAAGUGUCAGAUUUUUAAUUGAAGAUGAUCCGUUUAUGCAAAUUAAAUACAUGUCAUUUAUUUGGCAGGAUCUUGAAUUUUUAAUGUAACAAAGUGUAUUUGGACCCAGCACCAGAUCCCUUUUAAGUUCUUUCUACAUUCAAUAUGACUCGAGGACAACAUACAAUAGUCUUGUAUGAUUGCAUCUUUGUGAAAUUAUCUUCCACAUAUGGAAUUGAUUGAAGGAUCUAAUACAUUGCUUGUUUACAUUUCUACUUAUCAACUGGCUGUUGAACUCAUAUUAUCAUUUACAUUAUUAUUCAACCAGAAAUUCUAUAUGAUUGAUAUCCAUUUUUUGAUCGAUACUAUCAAUAACAUUUUGGUAUAUUUUGUUAUGGAUAUGCUGACAACAAUUAUAUUAACACUUAAUCCACAAUUCUUUCAUUAAUUAAGAAAUGACGUAGGUAUAAAGAAGAAUUGAUUAUCCAACAAUCCCUCAUUCCCUCGUUCCAUCAAUAUUAUUGUAUUCAAUUGUUUAAUAAAGAAAAAGACAAUUGUCAUGUUCAAUGCAAAACUGCUUAAGACUUCGCAUGUUACGACUUUUUUGCCUAUACACUCCAAUGGUAGUUGAGACAUUGGGGAAGCCCUUGUGAACAUGUUGUUGAAAGGUCUCUCUGGUCUGUCAACGUGUGCACUUGCGUCACUACCUUCUCCUUUUCCUUAACGAAAAUUCUACAGAGAAAAAUCCAAGCAAAUGCUGUUCUAUCUAUCUUUCCCAUUCAAAUGAUGUCAUAUCUCACUAUAUCUCACCAAACCCAGUUAUUAACUUAUUAUUACUUUCAUGACCCAAAAAAGAAAAAGUUACUUUUACGUUUUCCGUUUUUUGCUAUACCACUUUUUUGUCAGUAAGGACACAAUUGUACUUUUAUAAAUCCAAACUAACAAACGCCAUAAUGGGCUUACUCAUUGACUAAAAACUAACAAAAAUAUAAAAUCACUUGAGCAAGACCCAAAAGUAUAUAGGGUAUUUAGAAGAUCUUAAUUAGUGCAUUUCCACAUGUAAGCUUAUAAAUAGGACCGAAAUAUAGAAGAAUUCUACAAUAAAUUUUAGGAAAAAUUCAAUUUGUCUUUCAAAAUUAAAAUAAGGAGUUAAAUUCUUAUUACGGAUACUUCUAUGUUUUUUCCACAUUGAGAAACUAAAAAUACAAAUGACACCCACAAAAAAAGUAAAAAUUCAAUUCUUGAGUAGGGCAGCCGCAUGUGAAAUCACACUCGCAAAGAGUUAAGACCCACAUUCAGAGGGUCUCACCCUUAUUUGAGUGCCACCGGUGCCGCGGUCCUGUUUAAGAUUUUUUUCCUAUCAAAAGGUGAAGGUUGCCACAAGUAAAUUAAUGUAUGUAUUUUAUAUCUAGUGGGGAUGAAAAAGUAAGGUGAUCCAUGUUUCUAUAGGAUAUUAUUAUUUACAUUAUUAGUCAAUUAGAGUAGUCACAUCCACACCAGUCUUUGCAUGCGAAACUGCUUACUGCCCUGCAACUGCCUUCACCAAAAUUCUCCCACAAACCCAUUAUUUUCCUUUAAAAUCUUAAAAACAAAAUUUGGUCCCUCUGUCGCCACAAUUUCUAAUUAAUGUUAGAAAACACUAGAAGCAUAUAGGAACAAAAGAAUCAAAAUUUUCUUCUUCGUAUUAUUUAUUUGAAUAUGACCUCAAAAGUCAAAGGCUUUCCAAGAACAUUCACUAUAAAAGAAAAGAAGGCUCCUUCUGUUUAACACACAUCUCAAUUCUCACAGACCGUCCCGUUUCGAAUCUAUCAAUGGCAGAAGCAACAAAGAGGUAGCACUUUAGACUUCAUUAUGCUUUGUUUCCUUGUCCGAUUUCCAAUCCCUUUAAUUGUUUUUGUUUCUAUGAAUUUGGUGUUUGUGUUUUCUUAGGUAUGCGGUUGUUACUGGAGCAAACAAAGGUAUAGGAUUGGAAACUGUAAGGCAGUUGGCCUCAAAUGGGUUCACCGUAGUCUUAACUGCCCGAGAUGAGAAGAGGGGUCUUGAAGCUGUUGAGAAACUCAAAGAGUCUGGCCUCUCAGGUCAAGUGGUUUUUCAUCAACUUGAUGUGGUUGACCCUGCUACUGUUGCUUCUUUGGCAGACUUCAUCAAAACCCAGUUUGGGAAACUCGAUAUCUUGGUAUGUAUAUGAUCAUAGCUACAGGUUUCUUGAAAAAGUUUCUGUCUUUUGAAUCUAACUCUUAAUCCGAAUGCGAUUUAGUUGGAAGCACGGAUACGCUGGUUGAGGUGCGUAUCCCGUAUCCGAUACGCUAGGGGAUACGAUACGCUGUGAAUACGUGCGGAUACCCGAUGGAUACGUAUCCGAGUAAACGGAUACGGUCAAAGACAAAAAGAUACUCGUAUCUGACAUUACAGAUACGAGUAUCUGAUGUUUAGGAUACGCGUAUCAGGAAACGUCUCCACUUCUUCUUUCAGAUCUUCCUUCUUCUUCUUCAUCCAGCAGUGCCCCCACUCAUCAAUUCUUCUUCUUCGUCCUUAAGAAGCCCAGAUCUUCCUUUUUCUUCUUCAUCCAGCGGCGCCCCUACUCAUCAAUUUCUUCUUCUUCAUUCUUCAUUGUCGGCGGCGUCGGGUUCUCUUCUCCAUUUUCAUUUUGUUUUCUCACGCGUGCUUCUCUGUUCUUUUGACAAAAGGAUUUUGUUUUGUUUUUGUCUUUUUUUUUGGUCAAAGGAUUUUGUUUGUUUAAUAUUCACAGUUUCACCCACACCCCACGUGAUGGCUGGUCUUAUCGUUUUGACAAAAGGAUUUUGUUUUGUUUGUCUUAUUAAAAGUAAUAAUAUUAUAACCAAGACAAGUGGAAGUAUGUUAAAAGUAAUAAUAUCAAAAGUAGUUAUUUAAAAUAUGUUAUAAAUUAUAUAUAUUGUUAUUUUUAAAUUAUUAUAUAUUAUUUAAAUUACCGUAUUCACGACGUAUCGUAUCCUAAUUUUUAAAAAUUUAUCGUGUCUCCGUGUGGUGUCGUAUCGUAUUCUCGUAUCCGUAUCCGUGUCCGUGCUAUGAAAUAUGGAAUUGGAAAAUGAAAAUAGCAAACCAAGUAAUAACUAGCUUAGUAAUAUCUUCAACAAGUUAAUCUUUGAAAUAAUUAGAAGUCUUAGGCUUUUUGAAGAACAAAACAAGUUUCACAUAACUACCAGUCUACCACUCUGUUUUUGUUUCUUGGAAUCUUUUGAUAUAUGAUAUGAUCCCUUUCUGUACAAUUUAUAUGUACUCUAGAAAGAUCAGUGGCUGGAGUUACGGGGUUUGGCAAAGUGGCAUAAUUAUUGGGCUUCUUUAAAGGGCAUUGGACUUUAUGGUUAGUUUGGUUUUAACAACAAAGAGAUUGUAAGAGUAAUCAGAGGAUCUAUCAACUUUCUUUUCCUUUCAUUUUCUAUAAAGAUUUUCUGUUCUUUUCUUUGCUAAAAGAAAACAGAUAGUGAAACAGUUGGACUCUGCACAGGUGAACAAUGCAGGGGUUAUUGGAAGCAUAGUAGAUGGUGAUGCUUUUAAAGCUUCUGUAGCCUCCGGUGCCACGGUAAGUCUUUUGCAUAAUUUUUUUAUCAAUAGCUAUCAAAAACUAAAAGCUUCAAUGUAUGUGCCAAAGUGAGAAUUUAAACUGAUCUGUGGUUUGGCAUACUUUAAUCAACGUUUUUCUUGUUUGGGGUGGGUGUGUAAGUGGUGGGCAAUAGGCACCAUAAUAAUAAGUUUGUUUUUGCUGAUACAGGAAAGAGGAGGAGUUGAUUUUAGUAAACUAGUGACUGAAACUUACGAGUUAACAGAAGAAUGCUUGCAAAUAAACUAUUAUGGUGCUAAAAGAACAGCUGAAGCACUUAUCCCACUCCUCCUGUUAUCUGACUCACCGAGAAUUGUUAAUGUUUCUUCUGUCAUGGGGAUGUUAAACAACAUACCAAGCGAUUGGGCUAGAGGAGUUUUUACUGAUGCCGAAAACCUAACAGAAGAGAGAGUAGAUGAGGUACUGACUGAGCUUCUAAAAGAUUUCAAGGAGGGUUCACUUGAAAGUAAGGGCUGGCCUUCUUCUAUGCCUGCCUAUAUAGUCUCAAAAGCAGCACUGAACGCAUAUACAAGGAUUCUAGGAAAGAAGUACCCCACUUUUCGUAUCAAUUCAGUCUGCCCUGGCUUUGUCAAAACAGAUAUAAACUUCAAUGCCGGCGUCUUGCCUGUCGAAGAGGGUGGUGCCAGGAUUGUAAAGUUAGCAUUGCUGCCCAAUGAUGGCCCUACUGGCUCCUUCUUUGUUCACAAUGAAGUGUCAGAUUUUUGAUUGAAGAUGAUCCAUUUAUGCAAAUUUAAUACGAGUCAUUUAUUGGGCAACAUUUGGUACUGUAAUGUAAUUUUAAGUAUUUUGGUAUGUAUA
rnacentral:lncRNA from 1 species